rnacentral:rRNA from 1 species
AUACGAAGGGUGCAAGCGUUACUCGGAAUUACUGGGCGUAAAGCGUGCGUAGGUGGUUGUUUAGGUCUGUCGUGAAAGCCCUGGGCUCGACCUGGGAAUGGCGAUGGAAACUGGGCGACUAGAGUGUGGCAGAGGGUAGUGGAAUUCCUGGUGUAGCAGUGAAAUGCGUAGAGAUCAGGAGGAACAUCCGUGGCGAAGGCGACUGCCUGGGCCAACACUGACACUGAGGCACGAAAGCGUGGGGAGCAAACAGGAUUAGAUACCCUGGUAGUCCACGCCCUAAACGAUGCGAACUGGAUGUUGGGUGCAAUUUGGCACGCAGUAUCGAAGCUAACGCGUUAAGUUCGCCGCCUGGGGAGUACGGUCGCAAGACUGAAACUCAAAUGAAUUGACGGGG